CUGGUCUACACAGGCCAAGUUUGAGAACAUAAAAUGUCACAGGGGUCAGGUGUGGGGGCUUGACAUUCUCAAUACAAAUGAUUUCUAGGCUUUUGUUUAAAAGCAUGUAACACCUGGAAACACGUAAUACAUGAACCAGCAUUAACUAUUGAUUGUUGAGCUAAAAUGUGUAUCUAGCCAUCCAUACCCUAGAAAGGUAAUGAAGGAAUGGAACAGAGACUAGGUUUCAGUAUCAGGGUUAUUCUGGCCUCUAACACAAGUUGGUGCUCAAUGCAGCUUAUUACCAACAGGCAACAAGAAGAUAGGCCCCUCAAUCCUACAACUAUAGGAUAUGAAUUCUGCCAGCAAACCUAGUCUAGAAGUGGAUUCUCCCUCAGCUGAACUUCCAGAUAAGAACGCAGCCCAGCCAACACCCUGAUGACACCCUCAUAAC